rnacentral:lncRNA from 1 species
AAAAAAAAAAAAAAAAAAAAAAGUCCGAGCAAAGGGGGAGCGUACGCCCUCUACGCCCACCUCUGAAUCCGCCACUGUAUCAGGUGUUUUGUUCGGUAGAUCUCAAUUGGGAAAAAGAGAACGGGAUUGUGUUUAUGAUAAUUGGAACAUAUCCGUCGUAAUCUGUGUAAGUGAUAUAUUAUAACUUUAAACCAACUCGUGAUUGCACCCGUAAUGUUUAUUUUGAAGGAACGACUACAACUUUACUUCUUUGAUCCUAAAUUUUUCUUCUCUACAAAUUUAAUUGCCGA